rnacentral:rRNA from 1 species
UACGGAGGGUGCAAGCGUUAUCCGGAUUCACUGGGUUUAAAGGGUGCGUAGGUGGGUUGGUAAGUCCGUGGUGAAAUCCCUGAGCUUAACUCGGAAAGGUCAACUGAUACUGUGCGACUAGAGUGCGGAAGGGGCAACUGGAAUUCUUGGUGUAGCGGUGAAAUGCGUAGAUAUCAAGAGGAACACCUGCGGCGAAGGCGGGUUGCUGGGCCGACACUGACGCUGAAGCGCGAAAGCCAGGGGAGCGAACGGG